GAUGAACGCUGGCGGCGUGCCUAAUACAUGCAAGUCGAGCGAACGGACGAGAAGCUUGCUUCUCUGAUGUUAGCGGCGGACGGGUGAGUAACACGUGGAUAACCUACCUAUAAGACUGGGAUAACUUCGGGAAACCGGAGCUAAUACCGGAUAAUAUUUUGAACCGCAUGGUUCAAAAGUGAAAGACGGUCUUGCUGUCACUUAUAGAUGGAUCCGCGCUGCAUUAGCUAGUUGGUAAGGUAGCGGCUUACCAAGGCAACGAUGCAUAGCCGACCUGAGAGGGUGAUCGGCCACACUGGAACUGAGACACGGUCCAGACUCCUACGGGAGGCAGCAGUAGGGAAUCUUCCGCAAUGGGCGAAAGCCUGACGGAGCAACGCCGCGUGAGUGAUGAAGGUCUUCGGAUCGUAAAACUCUGUUAUUAGGGAAGAACGUAUGUGUAAGUAACUGUGCACAUCUUGACGGUACCUAAUCAGAAAGCCACGGCUAACUACGUG
rnacentral:rRNA from 1 species